CCCAGCUACAGAGCUUUCCCCUUGACAAGAACAGUGUCCCUGUGGAUGGGUCUUCUCCCAACAGAAAUGAUGCCUUGACUGAGAAUUCUGACCUCCCCUUCUGGGCCAUCAUCCUCGUCUGCUUGGCAGGACUCCUGGUGCUCGUAAUAUGCUUGAUCU